rnacentral:rRNA from 1 species
GACGAACGCUGGCGGCGUGCCUAAUACAUGCAAGUAGAACGCUGAAGAGAGGAGCUUGCUCUUCUUGGAUGAGUUGCGAACGGGUGAGUAACGCGUAGGUAACCUGCCUGGUAGCGGGGGAUAACUAUUGGAAACGAUAGCUAAUACCGCAUAAAAUGGAUUAUCGCAUGAUAAUCCAUUGAAAGGUGCAAAUGCAUCACUACCAGAUGGACCUGCGUUGUAUUAGCUAGUUGGUGGGGUAACGGCUCACCAAGGCGACGAUACAUAGCCGACCUGAGAGGGUGGUCGGCCACACUGGGACUGAGACACGGCCCAGACUCCUACGGGAGGCAGCAGUAGGGCAUCUUCGGCAAUAGACGGAAGUCUGACCGAGCAACGCCGCGUGAGUGAAGAAGGUUUUCGGAUCGUAAAGCUCUGUUGUAAGAGAAGAACGAGUGUGAGAGUGGAAAGUUCACACUGUGACGGUAUCUUACCAGAAAGGGACGGCUAACUACGUG